UACGGGGGGGGCAAGCGUUGUUCGGAAUUACUGGGCGUAAAGGGCUCGUAGGCGGCCAACUAAGUCGGACGUGAAAUCCCCAGGCUCAACCUGGGAACUGCGUCUGAUACUGGAUGGCUUGAAUCCGGGAGAGGGAUGCAGAAUUCCAGGUGUAGCGGUGAAAUGCGUAGAUAUCUGGAGGAAUACCGGUGGCGAAGGCGGCAUCCUGGACCGACAUUGACGCUGAUGAGCGAAAGCCAGGGGAGCAAACGGG
rnacentral:rRNA from 1 species